rnacentral:tRNA from 1 species
UCACUGGUGGCUCAGACAGUAAAGCAUCUGCCUGCAAUGCAGGAAACCUGGGUUCAAUCCCUGGGUUGGGAA